rnacentral:rRNA from 1 species
UCGCUCCUACCGAUUGAGUGAUCCGGUGAAUAAUUCGGACUGCAGCAAUGUUCAGUUCCUGAAAUUAGCGGCGGAAAGUCUAGUGAACCUUAUCACUUAGAGGAAGGAG